UACAGAGGGUGCAAGCGUUAAUCGGAGUUACUGGGCGUAAAGGGCGCGUAGGCGGACGAAUAAGUGAGAUGUGAAAUCCCUGGGCUUAACCUAGGAAGUGCAUCUUAUACUGUUGGUCUGGAGUAUUGUAGAGGGCAGUGGAAUUUCCGGUGUAGCGGUGAAAUGCGUAGAGAUCGGAAGGAACACCAGUGGCGAAGGCGACUGCCUGGACAAAUACUGACGCUGAGGCGCGAAAGCUAGGGGAGCAAACAGG
rnacentral:rRNA from 1 species